rnacentral:rRNA from 1 species
CGCUAGUAAUCGCGUAUCAGCAAUGACGCGGUGAAUGUGUUCCUGAGCCUUGUACACACCGCCCGUCAAGUCAUGGGAGCUGGUAGUACCCGAAGUCCGCUUAGCGAACCGCAAGGAGCGGCGGCCGACGGUAAGACCGGUGACUGGGACUAAGUCGUAACAAGGUAGCCGUAGGGGAACCUGCGGCUGGAUCACCUCCUUUCUAGGG